CCUAUAGCCUUCUUCUAGACAUAACAUUCCGAUUCUACGCGAUGUUGCGCCUUCGCUUUGUUGUCCUUCUCGCUGCCUGCUUCGUGGUAGCCAUGGCGAGCCAGAAGUGCAGCCGUUACUGCCAGACUCCUGGGCAGACUGACGUUUGCUGUGAUCCCCCACCUCCCCCUCGCUGCCCCUACCCCCCUCCGUGCAUCGACUUCUUCGCGGCAA